rnacentral:lncRNA from 1 species
CUUCGCUUGAAAAAUACAAAUAUACAUAUUCGAGAGCACUACCAAAUUUUGAAGCUUAAUGUAUUCAUUGCCAACGUACUGUACAUAACUAAAAGUCAUUUUAAAUGUUUUCUAAACAGGGACUGAUGUGGAUAUCAACAAUGGUUUCAUCCUAUAACUGAGUUUUAGCAUUUGUUUAGUAUAUUUACCUAUUUAGUUAAAGCACAUUACAAUAAUCUUUCACCCAUUCCUUGUGGCUUAUGUUUAUUUUCAUUUUUUUUAGAGAUGGAAUCUUGCUAUGUUGUCCACGAUGGAUUCAAAAUCCUGGGCUCAAGAGAUCCUCCUGCCUCAGCCUCCUGAGCAGCUGGGACUACAGGUGUGCACCGCCACACUCCACAGCUGAUGUUUUAAUAAAGUGCCACUGAGUAUCAGACUGAUCAGACUGAAAACAUCCCAGAACUUCAGACCAGGUUAAGGGGGCCAAUGAGAAGAUCAUGAAAAGUGACAUCAGAUGAAAGCUGAGAUCUGUGAAAGUUUCAAAUCAGUUUUUCCAAGAAUGAAUCUUCAAUUAAAGCACUAAGCACAGAAGUAAAUGUAACAAAAGU